rnacentral:rRNA from 1 species
UACGUAGGGUCCGAGCGUUGUCCGGAAUUACUGGGCGUAAAGCGUGCGUAGGCGGUUAUUUAAGUCUGUUGUGAAAUCCCCGGGCUCAACCUGGGAAUGGCAAUGGAUACUGGAUAGCUAGAGUGUGAUAGAGGAUGGUGGAAUUCCCGGUGUAGCGGUGAAAUGCGUAGAGAUCGGGAGGAACAUCAGUGGCGAAGGCGGCCAUCUGGGACAACACUGACGCUGAGGCACGAAAAGCGUGGGGAGCGAACAGG